CAUUACAGCCAUAUCACCCUGCAGCCCAAGACUGGUUACUCACUGAAGCUAAGCAGGACUGAGCCUGGUCUGUACCUGGAUGAGAGACCACAUUUGAAAACUAUGUUGCUGUUAGUGA
ensembl:rRNA 5S_rRNA 5S ribosomal RNA